rnacentral:snRNA from 1 species
GUGCUUGCUUCGGCAGCACAUAUACUAAAAAUUGGAACAAUGCAAAGAAGAUUAGAAUGGCCCCUGCGCAAGGAUGACACAAAUUCGUGAAGCGUUCCAUAUUUUU